rnacentral:tRNA from 1 species
GAAACAUAAAAUUUAAGCUUCUAACUUAAAAUCUAGCAAAUAUUGUUAAUGUUUCU